rnacentral:rRNA from 1 species
AUUGAACGCUGGCGGCAUGCUUUACACAUGCAAGUCGAACGGCAGCGCGGGCUUCGGCCUGGCGGCGAGUGGCGAACGGGUGAGUAAUGCAUCGGAACGUGCCCAGUAGUGGGGGAUAGCCCGGCGAAAGCCGGAUUAAUACCGCAUACGACCUGAGGGUGAAAGCGGGGGACCGAAAGGCCUCGCGCUAUUUGAGCGGCCGAUGUCGGAUUAGCUAGUUGGUGGGGUAAAGGCUUACCAAGGCGACGAACCGUAGCUGGUCUGAGAGGACGACCAGCCACACUGGGACUGAGACACGGCCCAGACUCCUACGGGAGGCAGCAGUGGGGAAUUUUGGACAAUGGGGGCAACCCUGAUCCAGCCAUGCCGCGUGCGGGAAGAAGGCCUUCGGGUUGUAAACCGCUUUUGUUCGGGAAGAAAUCCUCUGGGCUAAUACCCCGGGGGGAUGACGGUACCGGAAGAAUAAGCACCGGCUAACUACGUG